rnacentral:rRNA from 1 species
CCUACGGGAGGCAGCAGUGAGGAAUAUUGGACAAUGGGCGCAAGCCUGAUCCAGCCAUGCCGCGUGCAGGAAGACGGUCCUAUGGAUUGUAAACUGCUUUUGUACAGGAAGAAACACUCCCUCGUGAGGGAGCUUGACGGUACUGUAAGAAUAAGGAUCGGCUAACUCCGUGCCAGCAGCCGCGGUAAUACGGAGGAUCCAAGCGUUAUCCGGAAUCAUUGGGUUUAAAGGGUCCGUAGGCGGUUUAAUAAGUCAGUGGUGAAAUCUGGCCGCUCAACGAUCAAACGGCCAUUGAUACUGUUAGACUUGAAUUAUUAGGAAGUAACUAGAAUAUGUAGUGUAGCGGUGAAAUGCUUAGAUAUUACAUGGAGUACCAAUUGCGAAGGCAGGUUACUACUAAUGGAUUGACGCUGAUGGACGAAAGCGUGGGGAGCGAACAGGAUUAGAUACCCUGGUAGUCCACGCCGUAAACGAUGGAUACUAGCUGUUCGGAGCAAUCUGAGUGCUAAGCGAAAGUGAUAAGUACCCACGUGGGAGUAACGUUCGCAAGAUGAAACUUNAANGAGUUGAGNNGAGAGNGCGAGACGACGACGAGGAGGAGG